rnacentral:rRNA from 1 species
UACGUAGGGUGCGAGCGUUAUUCGGAAUUACUGGGCGUAAAGCGUGCGUAGGCGGCUCGUUAAGUUCGUUGUGAAAGCCCCGGGCUCAACCUGGGAAUGGCCAUGGAAACUGGCGAGCUGGAGUGUGGCAGAGGGGGGUGGAAUUCCGCGUGUAGCAGUGAAAUGCGUAGAGAUGCGGAGGAACACCGAUGGCGAAGGCAGCCCCCUGGGCUAACACUGACGCUGAGGCGCGAAAGCGUGGGGAGCAAACAGG